UGUGAGGUUUCGGAUCUAAACUUGUUGAAGGGAAGAACACGUACGAGAGAAUGCUCGUCCUUGAGGUACCUAGAGAAACCACGGCUAACUACGUCCACAGCCGCGGAAUACUAGGUGGCAGGUUGUCCGGAUUAUUGGGCUAAGCGCGCGCAGGGGCCUUUAAGUCUGAGUGAAGCCCCCGGUCAACGGGAGGGCCAUUGGAACUGGAGGCUUGAGUACGAAAGAAGAGUGGAUCACGUGUAGCGGUGAAUGCGAGAGAUGUGGAGGACACAGUGGCGAGGCACUCUUUGGUCUGUAAUGACGUGAGGCGCGAAAGCGUGGGGCAACAGAUUAGAUACCCUGGUAGUCACGCGUAAACGAUGAGUGCUAGUGUGGGGUUUCGCCCCUCAGUGCUGAGCUAAGCAUUAAGCACUCCGCCUGGAGUGGCCGCAAGGCUGAAACUCAAGGAAUGGACGGGGACCCGCACAGCGGGAGAUGUGGUUUA
rnacentral:rRNA from 1 species